GCAAGUCGAGGGGUAACAGGGAUUAGCUUGCUAAUUUGCUGACGACCGGCGCACGGGUGCGUAACGCGUAUAGAACCUACCUUUUACAGGAGAAUAGCCCAGAGAAAUUUGGAUUAAAGCUCCAUAGUAUUAUAAAGUGGCAUCAUUUAAUAAUUAAACAUUUAUGGGUAAAAGAUGGCUAUGCGUUCUAUUAGCUAGAUGGUAAGGUAACGGCUUACCAAGACAGCGAUGGGUAGGGGCCCUGAGAGGGGGAUC
rnacentral:rRNA from 1 species